rnacentral:snoRNA from 1 species
GCUGUUCUGUGAUGAGGCCUGGAAUGUGCGCUGGACGCAGCGCCGAGUCAGACUGCGGAACCAUUCCCUGUUGCCUGCCUUCUGAGAACAGC